rnacentral:rRNA from 1 species
AGAGUUUGAUCCUGGCUCAGGAUGAACGCUAGCGACAGGCUUAACACAUGCAAGUCGAGGGGCAGCACAGGUAGCAAUACCGGGUGGCGACCGGCGCACGGGUGAGUAACGCGUAUGCAACUUGCCUAUCAGAGGGGGAUAACCCGGCGAAAGUCGGACUAAUACCGCAUGAAGCAGGGAUCCCGCAUGGGAAUAUUUGCUAAAGAUUCAUCGCUGAUAGAUAGGCAUGCGUUCCAUUAGGCAGUUGGCGGGGUAACGGCCCACCAAACCGACGAUGGAUAGGGGUUCUGAGAGGAAGGUCCCCCACAUUGGUACUGAGACACGGACCAAACUCCUACGGGAGGCAGCAGUGAGGAAUAUUGGUCAAUGGCCGAGAGGCUGAACCAGCCAAGUCGCGUGAGGGAUGAAGGUUCUAUGGAUCGUAAACCUCUUUUAUAAGGGAAUAAAGUGCGGGACGUGUCCCGUUUUGUAUGUACCUUAUGAAUAAGGAUCGGCUAACUCCGUGCCAGCAGCCGCGGUAAUACGGAGGAUCCGAGCGUUAUCCGGAUUUAUUGGGUUUAAAGGGUGCGUAGGCGGCCUUUUAAGUCAGCGGUGAAAGUCUGUGGCUCAACCAUAGAAUUGCCGUUGAAACUGGGGGGCUUGAGUAUGUUUAAGGCAGGCGGAAUGCGUGGUGUAGCGGUGAAAUGCAUAGAUAUCACGCAGAACCCCGAUUGCGAAGGCAGCCUGCCAAGCCAUUACUGACGCUGAUGCACGAAAGCGUGGGGAUCAAACAGGAUUAGAUACCCUGGUAGUCCACGCAGUAAACGAUGAUCACUAGCUGUUUGCGAUACACUGUAAGCGGCACAGCGAAAGCGUUAAGUGAUCCACCUGGGGAGUACGCCGGCAACGGUGAAACUCAAAGGAAUUGACGGGGGCCCGCACAAGCGGAGGAACAUGUGGUUUAAUUCGAUGAUACGCGAGGAACCUUACCCGGGUUUGAACGCAUUCGGACCGAGGUGGAAACACCUUUUCUAGCAAUAGCCGUUUGCGAGGUGCUGCAUGGUUGUCGUCAGCUCGUGCCGUGAGGUGUCGGCUUAAGUGCCAUAACGAGCGCAACCCUUGCCACUAGUUACUAACAGGUAAAGCUGAGGACUCUGGUGGGACUGCCAGCGUAAGCUGCGAGGAAGGCGGGGAUGACGUCAAAUCAGCACGGCCCUUACAUCCGGGGCGACACACGUGUUACAAUGGCGUGGACAAAGGGAAGCCACCUGGCGACAGGGAGCGAAUCCCCAAACCACGUCUCAGUUCGGAUCGGAGUCUGCAACCCGACUCCGUGAAGCUGGAUUCGCUAGUAAUCGCGCAUCAGCCAUGGCGCGGUGAAUACGUUCCCGGGCCUUGUACACACCGCCCGUCAAGCCAUGGGAGCCGGGGGUACCUGAAGUCCGUAACCGCGAGGAUCGGCCUAGGGUAAAACUGGUGACUGGGGCUAAGUCGUAACAAGGUA